CAAAUUAGGAAUAACGAGUGAGUUUGGUCUGGGCGUUGCUGACGUAGCAGCUAAGUAAAUAGACGUUUUCGCUCAUUUCAAUUCCGAACCAAACGAGAAAGCAACAGAGACAUAGAAGAGCAAACGAAUAUCCAUAUUUGGAUCAUCAAUCAUUGAUUAAUCGACGGUCACAAAUUGUCGUUAAUGGCUACCGGAGUAGAGUGGAAGGAAUCGGAGAAGGUGGCCGGAAUCGCCCUGGAGUUUCCGGCCAAUGACAAUGCAACGUCGUCUCCUUCUUCGCCUCACAAGCUUCCUCGGCGACUUCGCCGGCGUCUCCUCGAGUCGAAGAGCCCUUCUACGGUGGAAGAUAUCGAAGCUAAGCUCAAAGAGGCCGAUCUCCGCCGCCAGCAAUUCUAUGAAGGUUUAUCAAACAAGGCGCGACCCAAAAUGAGAAGUCACUCAUGGUCCCCUUUGCAAGAGGCAGACCUUGGUCAGAGGCUUGAAGCAAAACUUAAGGCUGCUGAGCAAAAAAGGUUGAGCAUUCUAGCUAAUGCUCAAAUGCGGUUGGCAAAGUUGGAUGAGUUGCGACAAGCAGCUAAAACUGGACUAGAAAUGCGUUUUGUGAAGGAACGUGAUGAGCUUGGUAUGAAGGUUGAAUCAAGAGUACAGCAAGCGGAGACAAACAGGAUGCUUCUCCUCAAAGCUUAUAGGCAACGUAGGGCUGCAAAGGAAGAGCGCGCUGCUCAGUCAUUGAUGAGGAGGAUGAUUCAGGACAGCAAGUAUAAGGAGUGUGUGCGUGCUGCAAUUCACCAAAAACGUGCUGCUGCUGAGAGGAAAAGGUUGGGAUUGUUGGAAGCAGAGAAGACAAGGGCACAUGCAAGGGUAUUGCAAGUGCGGAAGGUAGUCAAGUUUGUUUAUAGUCAGCGUGAAAUUGAAAGAAGAAGAAUGAAGGAUCAACUAGAAGAUCGGCUCCAAAGGGCUAAAAGACAAAGAGAAGAACACUUGAGGCAGAAAGGGAGUUUGCAUAGUUCUGUUUGUGCCAAUUCAAAAGUGAUAAAUGAGCAAGGGGAGCUCCUUGCAAGAAAGUUAGCAAGGUGCUGGAGACGAUUUGUGAGAUUGAGGAGAACAACUUUUUCAUUGACAAAAUCUUACAAUGACUUAGAAAUCUCUCUAGAGUCUGUUAGGUCGAUGCCAUUUGAGAAGCUUGCCCUCCAGAUGGAGUCAGCCAACACUAUCCAAACUGUGAAAGCUUUACUUGACCGUUUUGAGAGUCGCCUCAUGAUCUCACAUGCAGCUACCCCUACCAGGAGUCUAUCUAAUUUAGAAAACAUUGAUAACCUUCUUAUGCGUGUCACUUCUCCAAAGCGAAGGGGCAAUACCAAUAACAGAGGGGUAAACAGAGUGGGUUCCAUCAGAGAAGGAGCUCAAAGACAAGUUAAAUUAUCAAGGUACCUAGUGAGGGUUGUGCUCUGUGCUUACAUGAUAUUGGGACACCCAGAUGCAGUUUUCAGUGAAAAGGGAGAGCAUGAAAUUGCUCUGGCCGAGUCAGCAGCAACAUUUGUCCAAGAGUUUGAGUUGCUGAUCAAGAUUAUAUCAGAUGGCCCUACUCACACUACUCAAGGGGGAACAAACUCCUCAGCUCCUAAUCAACUGACCUUCAGAUCCCAGCUGGAAGCUUUUGAUAGAUCAUGGUGCUCUUACCUGUAUUCCUUUGUGGCAUGGAAGGUUAAGGAUGCAAAGCUGUUAGAGGAGGAUUUGGUGAAAGCUGCUAGCCAACUGGAGGUUUCCAUGAUGCAAAAUUGCAAGCUGACUCCAGAAGGGGAUAAUGGCAGUCUUUCUCAUGAUAUGAAGGCCAUACAAAAGCAGGUGACAGAGGAUCACAAACUUUUAAGGACUAAAGUCCAGAAUCUGAGUGGUAAUGCUGGGCUUGAACAGAUGGAAUUUGCUCUCUCUGAUGCAUGGUCUAGAUUCUUUGAAGCCAAGGAGACUGGAAGUUCAUUAGUAUCAUCAGUUGCUCAUAUUUCUUCUCCAAUUCUGCCUGGUUCAUCAAAUAACUCUUCAAUUUUGGGUGAAAUGGGGAGUAUUUCUGAAAGCAUGGAGAGGUCAGACCAUAUUGUGUAUCCCUUGUUUAAGAAAGAUGAUUCUUCCCCAGGAAAUGAAGUGGUUUCAUCCACUCCUUUGAGAAGUGACGUGGACGGCUAUGGUGCAAUGUCAGUCACUGAGAAUGAACUACUUGUAAAUGAGAUUGUUCAUGAGCAUGGCCAUGGUUUUGCAGAUAGCUUUGAUGUUAGUGACAAUGAUCAGAGUAGUAUAAAGGAAAAAGUUAGGGAAACAAUGGAAAAGGCAUUCUGGGAUGGGAUCAUGGACUCCUUGAAACAGGAUGAGCCUGACUACAGUUGGGUUCUUAAACUCAUGAAGGAAGUCAAGGAUGAACUAUGCGAGAUGUCUCCUCAAAGUUGGAGACAGGAGAUUGUGGAGACCAUUGAUAUUGAUAUUCUCCCACAGGUGCUGAGAGCAGAAAUAUUAGACAUUGAUUUCCUUGGAAAGAUCCUAGAGUUUGCCUUGGUCACUUUGCAGAAACUUUCUGCUCCUGCUAAUGAUGACAAGAUGAAGGCUGCUCACUACAAGUUAUUAAAAAGACUCAGAGAUGCUUCACAGGCUGGAGAUAAAUCAAAUGCUUCAUUUGCCCUCUUGAUGGUUGAGGGUUUGCGGUUUGUUCUAGAGCAGAUUCAGACUCUUAGGCAAGAAAUUAGCAGAGCACGCAUAAGAAUGAUGGAACCACUCAUAAAGGGGCCUGCUGGUUUGGAAUACCUGAAGAAAGCUUUUGCCAACCGGUAUGGACCACCCACUGAUGCCCAUACUUCUCUACCAUUGACCAUGCAAUGGCUUUCAUCAGUGCAUUCAAGUGCAGAGCAGGAGUGGGAUGAAUACAAGGAUUCUGUAUCAUCUUUGACAGUGAACAAUGAAAGAUUAUAUCAGGGCCUUCCACCCACCACUCUCCGAACUGGUGGCAGUAUUCCAAUGGCAUCCAGAUUAGGCUCUCCAAGUUCUAAAGGUGAUGAACAACCGGAAUGCAAGGGAGAAAGGGUUGAUUUGUUAGUGCGGGUGGGUCUGUUAAAGCUGGUGAAUGAGAUUGGGGGCCUGAUGCUGGAAACUCUGCCUGAAACUCUUAAGCUUAACCUCUCCAGGCUAAGGGGUGUCCAGUCUCAAUUUCAGAAGAUCAUUGUGAUUGCUACCAGGUGAGUGAAUAUUUGUAUUUUUGCUCGCAUUCCCCUUCUGGCAGUCAUCUGCACUGGAUGUGAAAUAGUAAGGACACAACCUAGCACCUUGUAGCAAUUUGGACAACAUGGUUAUACCUAAGGAAACUCCAUUAUAUCAGAUGUUUAUGGUCUGUUGUUCCCAAUCAAAUAUGUGUUUGCAUGAGCAUGCCUGUUUGUCCAUGGUUAUACACUUAGUGUAGUAGGGUUUGCACAUGUUUGGAUGGUUAAGAGUUUUGUGGCUAUGUUGAUUUUAGCUUGCUUGCGUUUUUCUGUAGUUUGUUGGCCUGAUACAUUGUAAGAAAGUCGGUAGCUGCUUAAUUAGAUGUUUUGAGUUUGAGUCUCUUCUACUACUGCUUUCCCAUCUAUUUAGUUGAUUUUGUCUCUCCAUUUGUGCAUCAGGAUGUUAGCUUGAUAUAUAUCAAGGGUCAAGUUGGUAGCUUAAAGGGUGUUUGCUUCAAAGGAUGGGGCUUUCUCAGUUAGAUCCCUUUAUUCUAUGAUGGAGCCAUGGGGUCUUUCUUUGUUCCCUAGUGAAAGAAUUUGGAGGGCAAGAGUGCCCCCCAAGGUAGCUUUCUUUGCUUGGGAGGCUUCUUGGGGUAAAGUUUUAACGCAGGAGCAACUUCAAAGGAGGGGGUUCUCUUUGGCAAAUAGGUGCUUUCUCUGUUUAUCUGAAGAAGAAACAAUGGAUCAUCUCCUACUGCAUUGUAUCAAGACGCGGAUCCUAUGGAACCUCCUUUUCUCUCUUUUUGGUAUAUCUUGGACUCUCUCGGGUACAGUGAAGACAACCCUUCUUGGGUGGAAUGGAGGGUUUGUGGGAAAAAGACGUAAGAAGGCUUGGCAAAUGGCGCCGUUAUGUAUUUUUUGGUCAGUUUGGAAGGAGAGAAAUAGGUUAGCGUUUGGGGAUGAGGACCUUUCGCUUCAAAGGUUGAAAUAUUCUUUUGUAUGUAAUCUUUGGUUUUGGGUCAGGGGUUCCCUAGCAGAGAGUCAUUCUUCUCUUGUAAGUUUUGUAGACUGGAUAGGCUCCUAGUUAGGAAAGGUGGUGUGUAUACUCCCUGUAUACUUAGAGGACACCGGUUUUUGGUGUUCCCUCUUUUCGUUUAAUAUACUUAUUUUACUUAUAAAAAAAAAAAAAGUAAAAAAUAGGUAUUAAGUCAAAAUAAC